GACGAACGCUGGCGGCACGCCUAACACAUGCAAGUCGAGCGGAGAUUGAGAGCUUGCUCUCAUGAUCAGCGGCGGACGGGUGAGUAACACGUGAGCAACCUGCCUUUCAGAGGGGGACAACAGUUGGAAACGACUGCUAAUACCGCAUAACAUUGCCGAACGGCAUCGUUUGGCAAUCAAAGGAGCAAUCCGUUGAAAGAUGGGCUCGCGUCUGAUUAGAUAGUUGGUGAGGUAACGGCCCACCAAGGCGACGAUCAGUAGCCGACCUGAGAGGGUGACCGGCCACAUUGGGACUGAGACACGGGCCCAAACUCCUACGGGAGGCAGCAGUGGGGAAUAUUGCACAAUGGGGGAAACCCUGAUGCAGCGACGCCGCGUGAGCGAAGAAGUAUUUCGGUAUGUAAAGCUCUAUCAGCAGGGAGAAAAAAAUGAACGGUACCUGACUAAGAAGCCCCGGCUAACUACGUAGCCAGCAGCCGC
rnacentral:rRNA from 1 species